AUGCAUAGUAUGGACAAUUCAUAUGUAAUUCCUUAAAUCUUUUCGUAGCCUCAUAAAUGCACUCACCAUCUAAUUGGGUAAAUAAAGUAAUAUCUUUUCUAAGCUU